AUUGAACGCUGGCGGAAUGCUUUACACGUGCAAGUCGAACGGCAGCACGGACUUCGGUCUGGUGGCGAGUGGCGAACGGGUGAGUAAUACAUCGGAACGUGCCCAAUCGUGGGGGAUAACGUAGCGAAAGCUACGCUAAUACCGCAUACGAUCUAAGGAUGAAAGCGGGGGAUCGCAAGACCUCGCGCGAUUGGAGCGGCCGAUGGCAGAUUAGGUAGUUGGGAGGGUAAAGGCCUACCAAGCCGACGAUCUGUAGCUGGUCUGAGAGGAUGAUCAGCCAAACUGGGACUUAGACACGGCCCAGACUCCUACGGGAGGCAGCAGUGGGGAAUUUUGGACAAUGGACGCAAGUCUGAUCCAGCCAUUCCGCGUGCAGGAUGAAGGCCCUCGGGUUGUAAACUGCUUUUGUACAGAACGAAAAGGCUCUGGUUAAUACCUAGGGCUCAUGACGGUACUGUAAGAAUAAGCACCGGCUAACUACGUGCUAGCAGCCGCCGUAA
rnacentral:rRNA from 1 species